GAGUUGUGAGCUUUAAACAAGGUUUUGGAGUUUGAAGCUUUUGAAGCUUGGUUUCUCCAUAUCUUUGAGUUUGGAUCAUCUCAGCCUUUGUUCUUCAAGAGGUAAGUGUUGAUCCAUGGUUCUUAUGAUGUUUUUAUGAGUUUUGUAAAGGGAAAAGGGAGCUAGGCAUGAGUUUGCAUGAGAUGUGCAUCAUAGGGUUUAUGAAUCCUUUAUGUUUGCUGUGUGUCUUGUGAGCUUGUUUGUUGGAGUUUAAAGUUAUUUGAAGCUCCCUUAGGCUUGUUGAAGUGUUUAUGCAUGUUUUAGAAGGGUUAAAUGCAUGUGUUGAGGUCUGAACAGGUGAUGGAGGGACUGACAGGCGUCCUUGUGCACGAAACUGAGUUCUGGCUAAACUCAGGUUCGGCCCCCGAAAGUCCAAGUUAGGCCGCCGAACAUGCCUGACUUUCGUCUCUGGAGGAGACAUUCGGCCGCCGAAAGUGCUGCCGAAGGUGCCCUGUCCAGCCUUCCUUUGCUUGUUUUGCAUGCAUGUUUUGUGAUGUUUUAGAGGGUUUUUGGAGAGAUGUUCAUAGUUAUGUUAGAGUAUGUUUGGUACCUCAUUUGAGUCCUCCACUGUAGGAUUGGACCCGAGGAACCAAGGUGUUUAGCAGUAGUAGCUGUUUCAGAGGUAGAGGUAGCCCAGAGGUAGCCAAGUAGAGGCUACAGGUGAGUGGAACUAACUGUACUCUUUUACAUUCAAAAAUGACACGAAUCUAGCAUGAUCCAUGCAUCAUAAAAUGCCAUGUUAUGUAUUAGGUUGUAUUGCAUUAGAGUCCACGAAUAUGCUGCAUUGCAUAAGCUGAUAUUUGUGUGGAUGAAUGUUGGAUGAUCCUUAGCCCUUGAUAGAGCACAGAUACAGAGUUGUGGCAUGAGAUAGCCAUACCAGGUCGCCCCUGGUUAGUCCAGGUCGCUCCUGGUACUAUGAGUGAGACAGCUGGGCUGUCAGAUCAGAGCUCAGAGCAGUCCAGGUGAGGCCUAAUCGCCCCUGGCACAGUUGGACAUGUUAUGAUAUGAGUUACUUCAGAGUAGUCCAGGUGAGGCCUCAUCGCCCCUGGCACAGUUGGACAUACUAUUAUGUAUGUAGAGGGCUAUGGUGACAAGUUCAUCCUUGAGAUGAUAUGUUUGUGAUGUGAUGCAUUUCAUGAGAGCAUGUAAUGAAUGAACUGUUUUUAUUGUUCCUCCUCACUGGGCUCUAGAGCUCAUCCCACUCCCUUGACCCCAGUUUUGCAGGUUCUGAGAGAGCUAGGAGAAGUCAAAGUCAGCAAGAGUACAGAGGACAGUUAUGCAUGAAUGUAUGUUGUAAUAGGAUAGUGGACAUGAUGUAAUUGAAAGAUUAGUUGUAAUGUAAUAGA
rnacentral:lncRNA from 1 species